UACGAAGGGGGCUAGCGUUGUCCGGAUUGACUGGGCGUAAAGCGCACGCAGGCGGUCGCGCGCGUGGGGUGUGAAAUCUGGCCGCUUAACGGCCAGGCGCCAUCCCAUACGGCGCGACUGGAGUGAUGCAGAGGUCGAUGGAAUUGCCGGUGUAGUGGUGAAAUGCGUAGAGAUCGGCAGGAACACCCAGGGGGAAACCAGUCGACUGGGCAUCCACUGACGCUGAGGUGCGAGAGCGUGGGGAGCGAACCGG
rnacentral:rRNA from 1 species